UUCCGGUUGAUCCUGCCGGACCUGACUGCUAUCGGAUUGAUACUAAGCCAUGCGAGUCAUUGUAGCAAUACAAGGCAGACGGCUCAGUAACGCGUAGUCAACCUACCCUAUGGACGGGGAUAACCUCGGGAAACUGAGAAUAAUACCAGAUAGAACAUUAUGCCUGGAAUGGUUUAUGUUUCAAAUAAUUUAUUGCCGUAGGAUGGGACUGCGGCCUAUCAGUUUGUUGGUGAGGUAAUGGCCCACCAAGACUAUUACAGGUACGGGCUCUGAGAGGAGUAGCCCGGAGAUGGGUACUGAGACACGGACCCAGGCCCUAUGGGGCGCAGCAGGCGAGAAAACUUUGCAAUGUGCGAAAGCACGACAAGGUUAAUCCGAGUGAUUUCUGCUAAAGGAAUCUUUUGUCAGUCCUAGAAACACUGUUGAAUAAGGGGUGGGCAAGUUCUGGUGUCAGCCGCCGCGGUAAAACCAGCACCUCAAGUGGUCAGGAUGAUUAUUGGGCCUAAAGCAUCCGUAGCCUGCUUUGUCAGUUUUCGGUUAAAUCCAUACGCUCAACGUAUGGGCUGCCGGAAAUACUGCAAAGCUAGGGAGUGGGAGAGGUAGACGGUACUCGGGAGGAAGGGGUAAAAUCCUUUGAUCUCUCGAUGACCACCUGUGGCGAAGGCGGUCUACCAGAACACGUCCGACGGUGAGGGAUGAAAGCUGGGGGAGCAAACCGGAUUAGAUACCCGGGUAGUCCCAGCUGUAAACUAUGCAAACUCAGUGAUGCAUUGGCUUGAUGCCAAUGCAGUGUUGCAGGGAAGCCGUUAAGUUUGCCGCCUGGGAAGUACGUACGCAAGUAUGAAACUUAAAGGAAUUGGCGGGGGAGCACCACAAGGGGUGAAGCCUGCGGUUCAAUUGGAGUCAACGCCAGAAAUCUUACCCGGAGAGACAGCAGAAUGAAGGUCAAGCUGAAGACUUUACCAGACAAGCUGAGAGGUGGUGCAUGGCCGUCGCCAGCUCGUG
rnacentral:rRNA from 1 species